GACGAACGCUGGCGGCGUGCCUAAUACAUGCAAGUUGAGCGCUGAAGGUUGGUACUUGUACCAACUGGAUGAGCAGCGAACGGGUGAGUAACGCGUGGGGAAUCUGCCUUUGAGCGGGGGACAACAUGUGGAAACGAAUGCUAAUACCGCAUAAAAACUUUAAACACAAGGUUGAAGGGUGAAAGAUGCAAUUGCAUCACUCAAAGAUGAUCCCGCGUUGUAUUAGCUAGUUGGUGAGGUAAAGGCUCACCAAGGCGAUGAUACAUAGCCGACCUGAGAGGGUGGUCGGCCACAUUGGGACUGAGACACGGCCCAAACUCCUACGGGAGGCAGCCGUAGGGAAUCUUCGGCCAUGGACGAAAGUCUGACCGAGCAACGCCGCGUGAGUGAAGAAGGUUUUCGGAUCGUAAAACUCUGUUGGUAGAGAAGAACGUUGGUGAGAGUGGAAAGCUCAUCAAGUGACGGUAACUACCCAGAAAGGGACGGCUAACUACGUG
rnacentral:rRNA from 1 species